CAAGCCAGAAGAGGAGCGCCGCCCAGGCAAGGUAUCGGAGGAACCGUAUCCGAUGAGGAUACCAGAGGGGGAGCGGCGCCGAGACAGACGUAACCUACGGUGUUUACGCUGCCGACCGCAGGGGCUGAAUCCCCUGGGUUGUCACCCGCAUCGCUCCGCAAGGCGGAACGAUCAGCAAGGUGGAGCGCUUCUGGGUGU
rnacentral:ncRNA from 2 species